GGAGGGGGCGAGCGUUAUUCGGAAUUAUUGGGCGUAAAGGGCAGGUAGGCGGCUUUGUAUGUCCUCUGUGAAAGCCCUCGGCUCAACCGAGGAAUUGCAGGGGAAACUGCGGAGCUUGAGUCCGGGAGAGGCUAGUGGAAUUCCCAGUGUAGCGGUGAAAUGCGUAGAUAUUGGGAGGAACACCAGUGGCGAAGGCGGCUAGCUGGACCGGUACUGACGCUGAUCUGCGAAAGCUAGGGGAGCAAACGGGGAUUAGAUACCCCGGUAGUCCUGGCUGUAAACGCUGAGCACUUGGUGUGGCGGGUAUCGACCCCCCUGCCGUGCCGAAGCUAACGCAUUAAGUGCUCCGCCUGGGGAGUACGGUCGCAAGGCUG
rnacentral:rRNA from 1 species